rnacentral:tRNA from 1 species
UCCCUGGUGGCUCAGAGGUUAAAGCAUCUGCCUCCAAUGCAGGAGACCCGGGUUUGACUCCUGGGUCGGGAA